rnacentral:misc_RNA from 1 species
CACAAAAUAAGAACUAAAAUAAACAUUAAGCAAGAGUAUUCAGCGUCCCUGUACAAAUCACAUUGAAAGAAGUUCAUAACAGAGUUUUUGAAUCAACUAGUAAUUUUUUCAAGGCAUAAUACAACUCAAACACCAGGCAUAUGAGAAUUCCAAAAUUCUUUGUUAUGUACUGUUGUUUCCCACUCCUUAAAACAACCAGGUAUGACC